rnacentral:rRNA from 1 species
ACGGGGCCCGCACAAGCGGAGGAACAUGUGGUUUAAUUCGAUGAUACGCGGGGAACCUUACCUGGGCUUAAAUGGGAGUGACAGCUGGCGAAAGUUGGUUUUCUUCGGACACUCUUCAAGGUGCUGCAUGGUUGUCGUCAGCUCGUGCCGUGAGGUGUCGGGUUAAGUCCCAUAACGAGCGCAACCCUUACUGUUAGUUGCCAGCGGGUCAAGCCGGGAACUCUAACGGGACUGCCACCGUAAGGUGAGAGGAAGGUGGGAUGACGUCAAAUCAGCACGGCCCUUAUGUCCAGGGCUACACACGUGUUACAAUGGUCGGUACAAAGGGCAGCUACACCGCGAGGUGAUGCUAAUCUCAAAAAACCGCUCUCAGUUCAGAUUGGAGUCUGCAACUCGACUCCAUGAAGGCGGAAUCGCUAGUAAUCGCGGAUCAGCAUGCCGCGGUGAAUACGUUCCCGGGCCUU